UACGUAGGGGGCAAGCGUUGUCCGGAAUUAUUGGGCGUAAAGAGCUCGUAGGCGGCUUGUCGCGUCGUCCGUGAAAACUUGGGGCUCAACCCCAAGCUUGCGGUCGAUACGGGCAGGCUCGAGUUCGGUAGGGGAGACUGGAAUUCCUGGUGUAGCGGUGAAAUGCGCAGAUAUCUGGAGGAAUACCGGUGGCGAAGGCGGCAUCCUGGACCGGCAUUGACGCUGAUGAGCGAAAGCUAGGGGAGCAAACGGG
rnacentral:rRNA from 1 species